GCGCGAACACAAUGGACGCGGACGAGGGAUUGGCAUACUCGAACUGGAAAUACAGUCACGACUUCAAGUUCCUCUAAAGAGGACAAUACUAAGUAAUCAGCACCACCGCGGCCGUGCACCUGUCAUCAACCAGCCCUCAUCAUCACCUGCAUAAAAGCCUGCCAGAUCCCGGAAACUCUCGCCAAAUGCUCCUUCCGUGUUCCCCGCCGAGUGACUUCUUCCAUCACGUCGCCAAGCCAUCCGCCUGGUCACGCAACCUGCCACAUGUUCCCUGCCUCGACAACCCACCAGUAUGUAUCAUCAGGAUCAUCUCCAAACCCUUUUUCAAUAAACCGUUCAUCACAAA